CUAUCUGUCGGCCGUCUGGAAGAAGUUAGAAACGAAAAUGUCCAUGUAAAAGUUCGUUGCCUUUCUCCAUGUCUGUUUAUCCUCCAGUUCUAUCUCUUCUCCGGUUCCUCUGAGCGCCGCAGCAGUCUUACGGUCAUCCCGAAUGCUCUCAUUGGUUGAGACGCGUGAUGACGUUCAUCCCAAGCCAAUACGGAUCAAGAUCCCACCCCUUCCGUCACCCAUGCUCGGCUGGCUGUGGAGCCUGAAGCGAUAAACACAGGUGUAUUCAGAGUGACCCCAAUUACUCAGGAUCCUCAGCUCCACCAGCUGAAACAGCUGACUGGGACAGUCCUGAAAAACACAACCAGCCACAGUAUAACACAUACAGGAAGUUCUGAAAGUCAGAGUCCACUUUAUCAUGUGCACCUUACUGUGAGUCCCUACUGCCUUCACUCACACAUUUUACCACUUUUGUUAUGAAGAAUUGUGUCAUUUCUUUUGUGUAAUUGUGAAAAUCAUUCUUUCUCACCGGAAGUUUGAAGGUCUGGAUCGGUUCUCCGUUCUGGUCAUAGCUUGCAGUAAGGGGUGGCAAUAUUCCAAUAUUUACUACAUCUCUACUGAGACAAAAAACUGGAAUGACAGCAGACUGGACUGCAGAGGGAGAGGAGCAGACCUGGUGAUCAUAAACAACAAAGAGGAACAGGAGUUCCUCAUUAAAAUGUUGAACAGCAGCCCAGCUUGGAUUGGUCUGACUGACAGAGACACAGAGAAUGUGUGGAAAUGGGUGGAUGGUACACCACUGACCACUGCGUAAGAGACUUGUAUUUAUUUAUGUUUAUUCCUAAAUAUCUCAGUGCUGCAAGUACAAAGUGUUUUUCUGCUGACUGAACAAAAUGCUAAAAUUAUGUAAUUUUAAAAACAUAGGAUCACCUAAUCACAACAAAAGCUGUUUUGUUGCUAUAGUCAUUAAGAAUCUUAGUGUACCGAAAUCCGGUGCAUGUUCCCUUCCUCGCCACCAGAGGGAACCCUCACCCGAAUACUGACACAUACCACACACUAACAGAUCAUUCUUUGCAAAGUUUUACCAGUUUACCUGCAUUACCAAGCUGUUUGUUUCUGUGUAUGGCCAAGAUUUCCUGUUGCUUGAUUUCUGAUUUUGUCUGUGUUUAUUUGGAUU